UUAAAUUGAAGAGUUUGAUCAUGGCUCAGAUUGAACGCUGGCGGCAGGCCUAACACAUGCAAGUCGAACGGUAACAGGAAAC
rnacentral:rRNA from 3 species